CCUACGGGGGGCAGCAGUGAGGAAUAUUGGUCAAUGGGCGGAAGCCUGAACCAGCCACGUCGCGUGAAGGAAGACUGUCCUAUGGAUUGUAAACUUCUUUUUUGCAGGAAUAACAGGAGCUACGCGUAGCUUUUUGCAGGUACUGCACGAAUAAGGAUCGGCUAACUCCGUGCCAGCAGCCGCGGUAAUACGGAGGAUCCGAGCGUUAUCCGGAUUUAUUGGGUUUAAAGGGUGCGCAGGUGGACUGGUCAGUCAGGGGUGAAAUUUUGCAGCUCAACUGCAAGACUGCCUUUGAAACUUCCGGUCUUGAGUGCAAAUGAGGCAGGCGGAAUUUGUGGUGUAGCGGUGAAAUGCUUAGAUAUCACAAGGAACUCCUAUUGCGAAGGCAGCCUGCUGGGAUGCAACUGACACUGAGGCACGAAGGCGCGGGGAUCAAACAGGAUUAGAUACCCUAGUAGUC
rnacentral:rRNA from 1 species